GCCCUUUGUACACACCGCCCGUCGCUCCUACCGAUUGAAUGGUCUGGUGAAGUGUUCGGAUCGCGGCGACGGGGGCGGUUCGCCGCCCCCGACGUCGCGAGAAGUCCAUUGAACCUUAUCAUUUAGAGGAAGGAGAAGUCGUAACAAGGUUUCCGUAGGUGAACCUGCGGAAGGAUCAUUG
rnacentral:ncRNA from 1 species